rnacentral:rRNA from 1 species
CUACGGGUGGCUGCAGUGAGGAAUAUUGCGCAAUGGGGGAAACCCUGACGCAGCGACGCCGCGUGGAUGAUGAAGGCCUUAGGGUCGUAAAAUCCUGUCAGGUGGGAAGAAGUGGAUAUAGAUUAAUACUCUAUUUCUUUGACGGUACCACCAAAGGAAGCACCGGCUAACUCCGUGCCAGCAGCCGCGGUAAUACGGAGGGUGCAAACGGUUGUUCGGAAUUACUGGGCGUAAAGCGCGCGUAGGCGGUUUGUUAAGUCAGAUGUGAAAGUCCAUGGCUCAAGAUGGAAGUGCAUUUGAAACUGGCAGACUUGAGUACUGGAGGGGGUGAUGGAAUUCCCGGUGUAGAGGUGAUAUUCGUAGAUAUCGGGAGGAAUACCGGUGGCGAAGGCGAUCACCUGGCCAGAUACUGACGCUGAGGUGCGAAAGCGUGGGGAGCAAACAGGAUUAGAUACCCCCGUAGUC